rnacentral:tRNA from 1 species
GGGGCGGUAGCUCAACGGUAGAGCACGUCAUUUGCAAUGACGGGGUUGAGGGUUCAAAUCCCUCUCGCUCCA